AAUCUACUGGAUAUAUAACUAAUAUUAAAUUGUUUCAACAGGUUUCCAUUAAAUCAUAAUAAAUGUACAAGGAGAGGGUACAUCAAAUGGACAUGAAACGUGAGGAAGCAGAACCCCAAUCACGCUUCUUUCUCUUGAGCUUGGAAAGGGAUGCAUUUAAACGUAUUAAAUGAACAAGGAGACAGAAAAUAAGAAGAACUCAAAGUCUGGAGAAAUGGAGCCCUUUAAUUUUCUCUGCCCUUGAGCAUGAAGGUGCAAUUUCCAGAAAAUAUAUGGAAUCCGAAUUAGACUGAUGCAUAAAAGGACGGUUGCGUGCGAUGUGUAGUUUAUUCCACUUACUUCCUUUCAUCAACAUCUACUAUUAAGAGGCACUUCUCUUUUAUCAGCGGUUGGAAUAAAACUCGAGCACGUAUAGUGUUCCUCUAAAUCGUCUGACAAAUGGUAGAGAACUAAAGUUCGGGUUGAUGGUACUGAAACAAUAUCUACAAUGUUUGGUGGACUACAUUCUUGAUUUGCUGUUUUCGUCUUCACCUUGCAACAUUAUGCAGUUAAUUUUCAAGUGAUGAGUGAGAGCAGCUGAAGAUUUAUGUGUCUUCCACUGAAAUAAGAAAUUUUCUGCAUUGGCAUGCCUCUUGGAUUUGAUUUGCCUUUCACACCUGCAAACUUUGGAACAUUACAGUCUACGGUUAAUUAAGAUCGACGUUGGAGAAGAUAAAGAUGACCCCGUAGUUAAAAUAGUUCUUUAUCUUGCAUGCUCUAUGUAAUAGAAUUCAAGUUCAUUCAUUCAAAUUAGUUUUUUAUUUUGCAAGUUUUUUUGUAGUUUAUUUUAUUUAAAUGAGUUUUUAUUUU